AUACGAAGGUCCCAAGCGUUAUUCGGAAUCACUGGGCGUAAAGAGUACGUAGGCGGUUUGGUAAGUCAGGUGUGAAAUCCCGGAGCUCAACUCCGGAACUGCAUCCGAUACUGCCAGACUUGAGUAAUGGAGAGGCAGGUGGAAUUCUCGGUGUAGCAGUGAAAUGCGUGGAUAUCGAGAGGAAGACCAAUGGCGAAGGCAGCCUGCUGGACAUUUACUGACGCUGAGGUACGAAGGCUAGGGGAGCGAAAGGGAUUAGAAACCCGUGUAGUCC
rnacentral:rRNA from 1 species